rnacentral:lncRNA from 1 species
CAUCCCAAAAGCAUAUACCUCUGCCCCAUCCAUGGAAAAAUUGCCUCUCAUGAAACCAGUCCCUGGUGCCAAAAAGGUUGGGGACCGCGGCUCUGGAGUAUAUGCCUAGGAGUAGGAGUGUGGGGUCAUAUGGUAAUUUAUCUUUAAUUUUUGGAGGAAUUGAAUUUCAAUUCUUAUUAUUACCAAAAAUACUUAAAAUUCUUACAGAUGGCAUGGGAAAGUAGCACACAGUCGGGACUCUGCAGCCGAGUUUGCCUCCUUGAAUGCACACAUAACACAGGAACAAAGACAGAGCUGCUUCCCUCCUGUUGGGUCUCUGGCGGACAGUCAGAUGGGGAAAGGGAGACCCAGGCUGCGGUGACCCACUGAGGCACAGGAUCAGUGAGAACCCAGCCCUGGCUUUGCCCAGACCUCUCAAGGGCACUUCGUGGGACCAUUGCCGGCCGUUGUGGCAUCUGUCCCUGGCCUUGCCCCCAUCCGUCUCUGCACAGCCCAGGUGGGUCCGAGCCAGCCCCAGGUCUCCAGGGUCCCAGCCCAGCCUCUAGAAGAGCCAGCAGCAGGGCUGGAAGGGAGAGCACAUGCUGGGCCUUGGGGCUGCCUUGGACCUCAGGCCGUUGACAAGGAAAAGCGGAGAGUUGGGAAAAAAGGACAAAUAGCUGAGCGCCAGCCGCAGUCUGGGGGACGGGAGCCUCGUGCGACUCUCGGAGUGCUGGCCAGAUUGGCAGAGGGGAGGAGAGAGGAAAAACCCAGGCUCUGAGGAAAAACCUCUCCAGCCCAGCGCGUGGCCUGGCAUUAACCCACUGCAGCCCCAGGAAGUGGUUCCACCCCAGGCAGCCAACAAGGCGGUGCCUGAACUAUGUCUGUGGAUGACGGAGCCACGACCUGUCCCUCAGGGCUCAGCGCUGCGGCUAUGUCCAGGGACCCCUGGCUGUGCCCACGUCGGGGCUUCCCGUUCCUUACCUGCCAUGAGAAUGAGAUGUCCAGGGACCUCCCUGCUCCAGCUGGGACCUGUGGGGCUUUGUCUGUUGUCCCGAGCACCUUGGAGAUGUCAUUUCUAACAUUUUAACCCAGGAAUCCCCCCACCAAGGGACAGAGUGCAAGGACAUGAUCGAACAGAAAAAGUUCUGGUACAAGAUCAACCCCGUGGGGUGGUGAGUGCUGCAGCCCCGGGCCUCACAUCCUGCCGUCCCUGUGGGAGAUUGGAGCGGUCCCAGUGCCCACCGCUGAUUCUCUGGCUCCAGCAACCCCUCCAGGUGGAUCCGUCCCACG